UCUCAGCUUCUUCAUAAGCUCCCACACGAAUUGCUUGAUUCACUGGUUAGACGAUUGGGUCUGUAGCUCAGUUGGUUAGAGCGCACCCCUGAUAAGGGUGAGGUCGGCAGUUCGAAUCUGCCCAGACCCACCAAUUGUUGGUGUGCUGCGUGAUCCGAUACGGGGCCAUAGCUCAGCUGGGAGAGCGCCUGCUUUGCACGCAGGAGGUCAGGAGUUCGAUCCUCCUUGGCUCCACCAUCUAAAACAAUCGUCGAAAGCUCAGAAAUGAAUGUUCGUGAAUGAACAUUGAUUUCUGGUCUUUGCACCAGAACUGUUCUUUAAAAAUUCGGGUAUGUGAUAGAAGUAAGACUGAAUGAUCUCUUUCACUGGUGAUCAUUCAAGUCAAGGUAAAAUUUGCGAGUUCAAGCGCGAAUUUUCGGCGAAUGUCGUCUUCACAGUAUAACCAGAUUGCUUGGGGUUUAAUAUGGUC
rnacentral:tRNA from 1 species